GAGUCUUUCAUUUUCCAUUGUUGGCGGCCAUCAAUGAGUACUUUAAGGAGCUUCUGCUGCUGCUACUGCUGCUCCUUUGCCAGUACUUACUUAAUUGUUUGGCUUCUCCAUGGCUUUAGCUAAGCAACAAUCGAAACAGAAAAUCAGGAAACCAACCAAACAACGGGCGACAAGUCCAUUUUAACAGACGGAAGAAAUUAACUUUUAUUACAG
rnacentral:lncRNA from 1 species